AUUAGAGGUCGCGGAGACGAUCAGUACGUCACAGAGAAACGCCGGCAAGCGUCUGUGGCAGAAAGGCCGAUCCGCCGAAGCGCAUCGCGGUUGCCGCCGCCGUGUAGCUGGGGCUGCGUCGAACAGAUGCAGAACUGUCGCAUGUUCCCAUGCGGAGGGCUAUCG
rnacentral:ncRNA from 1 species